UACCUUUUCAACCUAGAAGCCCUAGCAGCCAUCUCCAUCUCCACGCACACUUCUUCUUCUUCCUUGGAUUCAAGGGGAAGCUGCCCCAUCAACACACUCCAGCAAGCGUCCCCCCUUCCAUCAUCAUUCACUACCUUUUCUUCCACGGAUUCGAGGAGGAAUUCGAAUCCAACGCGUUAUCUUUGAGUUCAACCAGAUCUGGUCGAACUUGGAUUACCACUGGGUUUCAGAUUCGAAGAACCUGUCACGCCUUGCCCUUGUCAUCUUCCUUUGGAGUUUUGAUUGAGAUUCCAAUGGAUGCAUGAUGUAGUGUGUUGCUCAUCUUCGAGCAUAUUCUGGUGGAACUGGUCACUUCUAUUUUAUUGCUUUCUGGUUUGCAUCAAGUACUGCUUCAUCAGUUUCCCCGAUAUUAGAUUUAUGGUUUUUGCAUUGAGUUCAGCUUAGUUAGUUUUUGAACUUAGAUUGAGCUGUUUGUGUGUUUAGAACUAUUCGUGACAGAUUUUCUUAAAUCAGUAAUUGGUUCAUGUUUUUUUUAUUUCUUUAAGUUAGUCUUUUAGUUGUUGUCUAGUUGUUGACUUAUGUGAUUUCCAAGUAGGAGCAUUUCAAUCUGUGUGGUAAAGAAAUUUCAACCAACCGGAUAAUUUAUCUUAGCGUUAGCUUCCACCGUGAUUUCUAUGGGAAAUGAUCCGUGCCUUUGUUAUACCUAUGCUAUUUAAUUCACAAUAGGGAUGGAAAUUAAGUUGGUAUUGUAGUGUGAACCUUGCAACGACAAGACCAUUAAUUAUCGAUUUACAGUUCAGUACCAAUUUUUGGCGCCGUUGCCGGGGAGAUUAUGGUGUUAGUUAAUCUUUGGAAUGGUAAUAAAUUCUGCAUAAUUUUUAUUUGUUGCACUUAUUGACCUGGUGAAAUAACAUCUAAAUGUAUGACUAGAUCAUCUACCAACGAUUUACUUGAUCCUGACCUAGAAUUUAAAAGAACAUUUCAUAUUCUGCUGAGAAAUCAGAGGGGAGCCGUGGCAAUUUCUACGAGUAGCUUUCUAGAGAUUGAACUUGACAUGGAGAAUAAACAAACACUUGGGGAGUUGGUUGCACCAGAUGUCUCUUAUAAUUCAUUGUGCAUUCAAUAUCUUGAGCUGGGCGUGGAUUUUGAACUGCGUUAAAGGCUUAUUCAUCUUCUUCCUAAAUUUAAUGGAUUAGCUGGCGAGGACCCUUCUAGGCACCUCCAAGAAUUUCAUGCAGUUUGCUCUACCAUGAAACCACAUGGUAUUGGUGAGGAAGAUAUUUAUCCGAGAGCUUUCCCAUUUUCUUUAGCAGGAGCAGUGAAGGAUUGGUUGUACUCUAGAACUCUAGGUACAAUUACAUGUUGGGUGGACAUGAAAAGAUUAUUUCUCGAAAAAUUCUUUCCUGCCUCACAAGCUGGAGCUAUUAAGCGAGCAAUAUGCAGUGUUCAACAGCUUUCUGGAGAGACAUUGUAUGAAUAUUGGGAGCGAUUUGAAAAGUUAUGUUCCAGUUGUCCCCAUCAUCAAAUCAGCGAUCACUUACUCAUACAGUAUUUCUAUGAGAGACUUCUACCCAUGGACAUAUGUAUGAUCGACACAGCUAGUGGGGGAGUGUUAGUGAAUAAGACACCUGUAGAGGCGAGGGAGAUUAUUUCUACUAUAGCAGCCAAGAGUUCAAAUCUCCUGUCCCCAAUAUCACCUGUCCCCGUGUCCCACUCAUCGUCCCAGCCCACCACCGGCAGCUUCCGACCGCCGUCCCAAUCAACACUAUAACCCUUAGGGAAGGUGAACCUAAGAGAGACACCAUCGGCACGAUCGGCGUCGAAAUUCGGCCGGAUCUGAGUAGACUUUCCUCUGCCGUCGAUCUGAACCCCUGCUCAGAUAUGACCAGAUUCCGACGUCGAUCGUGCCGAUGACGACCCCCUUGGGUUCAACUUCCCCAAGGAUUAUAGUGUUGAUUGGGUGACGGCCGGAGGCCGCCAGCGAUGGACUGGGACGACAUGUGAGACACGGGGAUAGAGAGAUUUGAAGACAGGAGAUUUGAACUAUGGCAGCCAAUGCCCAACAGUUUGGGAGUAUAUAGGUAUCUACUAAGGGAGUAAAUGGAGUCCAACUAUCUAGGUUAGAUACUCAAGAAAUUAAGAAUAGCUUGCUACAGGAGAUGACUUCUGCGUUCAAGCAGUUGGCACUCAGCCAUUCACAACAACCUACAACUCAGGUAGUACCAACAGCAAUGAUUUGUGGACUUUGUUUCUGUUCAUCACACACUACUGACGUUUGCACUUUGUUGCAGCAAGAAGGGAUUUCUCCUUUUGCAGAUCAAGUGGCAGCAGUUAAUAAUUUUCAGCCUCGACCUCAGUUUUACCAACAACAAUCUGGGAACAAACAGUCGUAUGAUCCCUUUUCUGCUACAUAUAAUCUAGGGUGGAGAGAUCAUCCUAAUUUGAGGUACGGGAAUCCUUAUCAGUAUCAGCAAUCUUAUCAUCAACAAAACCCCUAUCAACAACAUCAACCAUGUCAACAAUCGUACCAAUUAUCUUCUUCAUCUCAGAGACCAACAAUGUGUCAACUUCCCUAACUUCCUUAUCGUUCACCACAACUCCAAUUGCCCAAACCAGAACUUACCACAUAAAAGUUGGAGGAGCUUAUACAGCAGAUGCAGUUAAUGACAAGUAAUCAGUAGAACUUAGAGAGACAAAUCGGACAGAUGGCAUCAAGCAUUACCUAACUGCAGUCACAAGGAUUGGGUCAGUUACCCUCACAGAGUGUGCCAAACCCAAAAGGAAAUGUUAGUGCUAUUACACUUCGAAGUGGGAAAUCCACUGGGGAAGUGGAACUCACCCCAUUAGCACCAGUUACAAAUUCAGUAUGCUUAGAACUAGAAGCUGAGCAAAUCGUGCACUUACCCUUUCCGCAAAGAUCAGAAAUAAGGCAAAAGGAUGACAGGAAGGCAGAGGAAUUGCGAGAACUAGUGGAUACCUUUAGUAAAGUGGAAGUGAAUAUUCCAUUAUUGAAAGUCAUCAAGCACAUUCUGAAAUAUGCAAAGUUUUUGAAAGACUUGUGUGUUCAUAAGAGGAAACUAAAGGGCAGUGAGCUAGUCAGUAUGGGAAAGAACGUGUUGACACUAAUUCAGACAAUGCCGAAGAAAUGCAAGGAUCCAAGAGUCUUCACAAUACCUUGUGUUAUACGGGAUAGUGAUUUUGGAGACGCAAUGUUGGAUCUAGGAGCCUCAGUUAAUGUUAUGCCAAAAUCCAUUUUUGAAGCACUUGGUAUUGGACGCUUACAAACAAUUGGAAUAGUUAUUUAGCUAGCCAACCGUAGUUUAGUUCAUCCCGUUGGGGUGAUAGAAGAUGUUUUGGUAAAAGUAAAGAAUUUAAUCUUUCCAGCAGAUUUUUAUAUUUUGGAUAUGGAGGGAAAUGUCUCUCCGGGACAAGCUCCAUUGAUCCUUGGAAGAUCGUUCCUCAAAACUUCUAGGACUAAAAUUGAUGUACACGUCGGGACACUUACCAUGGAGUUUGGUGAUACAAUGGUACAAUUCAAUAUUCUAGAUGCAAUGAAAUAUCCAGCAGAGGACCAUUCACUCCUUAUCAUUGAUGUAUUCGGUGAGCUAGAUUUUGAGGUAUUAAGUGAUGCAACAGCAGAAUUAAUGAAUAUUUCCGAUGAUACCAGUUUUACAGCAGACGAAGUAUCCAAUGAUUUGAGGGAUAUUAACAAGGACUAUAGUCUAGAAAGCAAAGUUGUUGGAGAGUUCAUGGCAGACUUGCAUUCAGGGAAGUUAGAUUCGUUGGUGGAACAGGAAUAAAAAAUUUGAGUUGAAACCAUUGCCAGAUCAUCUAAAAUAUGCUUAUUUGGAAGAGGGUAAGCAGUUACCAAUAAUUAUUUCAAAGAAUUUGGAUCAGGAUCAAGAAAGCAAGCUGUUGGAUCUGUUACGACAACAUCAGAGGGCUUUUGGUUGGACGCUUGUAGACCUACCAGGUAUCAGUCCAAUCAUAUGUAAACAUCAGAUAUUUCUAGAGGCCGAUGCUAAGCCAAUAAGACAACCACAAUGUCGUCUUAACACACUUAUGCUAGGGUAGUCAAGGCUGAGGUAACUAAGCUGCUGCGAGUAGGAAUUAUAUAUCCCAUUUUGGAUAGUCAGUGGGUCAGUCCCGUGCAAGUAGUACCGAAGAAAUCUAGCCUCACAAUGGUGGCAAACAAAGAAAAUGAAUUGAUACCAACCCGAGUGCAAAAUUCAUGGAGAGUAUGUAUUGGUUAUCGCAAGCUAAAUCAAGUCACAAGAAAGGAUCAUUUUCCCUUACCAUUCAACGACCAAAUGUUAGAAAGGUUAGCAGGAAGAUCACGUUAUUGUUUCUUGGAUGGGUUUAUAGGUUAUUUCCAAAUUCCGGUUGCUCCAGAGGAUCAAGAAAAGACGACUUUUACAUGCCCAUUCGGAACUUUCGCAUAUCGACGAAUGCCAUUUGGACUAUGUAAUACUCCAGAUCACUAUCAAGGAAGAAUGUUCAAAGGAAAGUAAAGGCUAAGGAGAAAAGCUUACACUUCUUACUUCUCCAAAUCUAGAAUUAAAUUGUAAUUACUGUAGCCAUUCCUACUAUAGUUGGUGAAAACCUUAACGUGUUCAUGACUUUAAAAUAGUAUAUUCCAGAUUUUCUUAAGGUGUCCUCAAGAGUAUUGGGAAGAAUGCCGACAAGCUAAAAAAAAUGGAGAGAAUUUAACAA